UACGUAGGAGGCGAGCGUUGUCCGGAGUUACUGGGCGUAAAGGGUGCGUAGGCGGCCGCGCGCGUGGCGGGUGAAAUCUCUCGGCUUACCCGGGAGGGUGCUUGCCAGACGGCGUGGCUUGAGGGACGGAGAGGGGCGUGGAAUUCCGGGUGGAGCGGUGAAAUGCGUAGAGAUCCGGAGGAACACCGACGGCGUAGGCAGCGCCCUGGCCGUUUCCUGACGCUGAUGCACGAAAGCCAGGGGAGCAAACGGG
rnacentral:rRNA from 1 species